rnacentral:rRNA from 1 species
AUGGGGCGAAAGGGGCCCAAGGGGCCCAAGGGGGCCAAGGCGAACGCCGACGCCCUCACGAAGGCCGCCCUGGCCGCCAUGAGCGAGGAGACGACCGUACGCAUCACCACGGUGCUCGAGGACUUCCGCGCCUCCGACGCCCAAGUGCACACAUUCGAACCUAGUCUUACCAAUCAAGAGCGGGCUGCAGUACAUGCUAUGUGUAAAAAGAUGGGCAUGAUAUCAAAGAGUAAAGGGUAUGGGGAACGGCGAUGCCUUUCUGUUUACAAAACUAAAAACACACAGGCGCCUGGUAAAGAAGAAGGCCCUAGCAAACUCGGAUUUUCUGAAGAAGCAAGACAGAUUUUGUUAGAUCUGUUUACACACUAUCCUCCUGAUGAUGCUGAAUUGAAUGGUGAUGCUGUCAAGAAUCCUGGCGAUAAGGCUGCUAAAAUUCGAUGGAAGACAGAUACAGCCUUUUCCAGGCCAGCUAUGCAGAAACAUGAUAUAGCAAAGAAGGUCAAGAUGCUUACGUCGAAAUUAAGUGAUCCUAGACAGUUGAGGAAGAUCGGUGAAGACAGAUCCAAACUUCCGAUUGCAUCCUUCAAAGAUCACAUUUCUUCUACCCUAGAAAAUCACCAGGUGGUUCUUAUUUCUGGAGAAACAGGCUGCGGUAAAACUACCCAGGUUCCGCAAUAUAUCUUAGAUCAUGUGUGGGGCAAGGGUGAAUCAUGUAAGAUCAUUUGUACUCAACCGCGGCGGAUAUCAGCUAUGUCAGUUGCCGAACGAAUCUCUGUUGAAAGAGGAGAGACUGUUGGUGAUACAGUUGGGUACAAGAUACGUUUGGAAUCGAAGGGAGGGAAGAAUUCGUCAAUCAUUUUCUGCACAAAUGGUGUUCUCUUGAGGGUGUUGAUAGGCAGAGUAACUAACAGUUCAAAUAGGCAACGCGCAGCUGAUGAUGUAAUUAUGGGGAUAACACACAUUAUUGUGGAUGAAAUCCAUGAAAGGGAUAGGUUUUCUGAUUUCAUGCUGGCUAUCUUGAGAGAUCUGCUGCCGAUGUAUCCUCAUCUUCAUUUGGUGCUCAUGAGUGCAACGAUUGAUGCUGAGCGGUUUUCACAAUAUUUCAAUGGAUGCCCGGUUAUUCGAGUCCCAGGCCAUACCUAUCCGGUCAAAACUUUCUAUUUGGAGGAUGUGCUUUCUAUUCUGCAAUCUGUAGGUGAUAAUCAUCUUAAUCCUGAAACAAAUGAUCUGGGACUUGACAGUGUGCUAACCGAUGAUUACAAAAGCUCAAUGGAUGAAGCAAUUAGCAUGGCUUUAGCCAGUGAUGAAUUUGAUCUUCUCAUUGAGCUUAUUUCUAUAGAGCAGAACCCAGAAAUCUUCAACUACCAACAUUCAGAGACUGGUGUGACACCUUUGAUGGUUUUUGCCAGGAAGGGUCAGCUUGGGGAUGUCUGUAUGCUUUUAUCAUUUGGUGUGGAUUGUUCUGCACGGGAUCAUGAUGGAAAAUCUGCAUUAGAUUGGGCACAGCAAGAGAAUCAGGUAGAGGCUUAUGAAGUUAUUAAGAAACAUAUGGAUUGUAGUCCUGCAAAAUUACCUGAAGAAAACGAGCUGCUUAAGAAAUACUUGGCCACUAUCAACCCAGAACACAUUGAUACUGUGCUGAUAGAACGGUUGCUUAGAAAAAUAUGUACUGACUCCAAUGAAGGAGCUAUCUUAGUCUUCCUUCCUGGUUGGGAAGAUAUAAAUCAAACACGGGAGAGGUUACUUGCUUCUUCCUUUCGGGAUUCUUCAAAAUUUCUUGUACUGUCACUUCAUUCCAUGAUACCAUCUUCAGAGCAGAAAAAGGUUUUCAAACGUGCACCGGCAGGGGUUCGUAAAAUUAUUCUCUCAACCAACAUAGCGGAGACUGCAGUAACAAUUGAUGAUAUUGUAUUUGUUCUAGAUAGUGGGAGGAUGAAAGAGAAAAGCUAUGAUCCAUACAAUAAUGUGUCUACACUUCAUACUUCUUGGGUAUCUCGAGCUAAUGCAAGACAGCGUGAAGGACGUGCCGGUCGUUGUCAGCCAGGAAUUUGCUAUCAUCUUUACUCUAGAUUUCGAGCAGCCUCGUUGCCAGAAUUCCAAAUUCCUGAAAUUAAGAGGAUGCCUAUUGAAGAGCUGUGUUUGCAGGUCAAACUGCUUGAUCCAAACUCUAAAAUAGAUCUUGGUGCUUUAACUCAAAAUGAACAAUUGACAGAUUUGGGUGAAAAGUUAGGUUCUCUCCCGGUCCAUCCAUCCACAAGCAAGAUGCUCCUGUUUGGUAUAUUGAUGAACUGCCUUGAUCCUGCAUUGACAUUGGCAUGUGCAGCAGACUAUAGAGAUCCUUUCGUCCUUCCUAUGGCUCCGGAUGAGAGAAAAAGGGCUGCUGCAGCCAAGGUUGAGCUUGCUUCAUUAUAUGGUGGAUAUAGUGACCAGCUUGCUGUUGUAGCAGCAUUUGAUUGUUGGACGUGUGCCAAAGAGAAAGGACAAGAAGCUUUGUUUUGUUCAAAGUACUUUGUAGCUUCAAACACCAUGAAUAUGUUGUCUAGUAUGAGGAAACAGCUCCACAGUGAACUAGCUCAAAGAGGAUUUCUUCCUGCUGAUACAUCUGCCUGCAGCUUGAAUGCUAAAGUUCCAGGUAUCAUUAGUGCUGUCCUUGUGGCUGGCGCUUACCCAAUGGUAGGACGAUUGCUCCCUCCUCGCAAAAAUGCUAGAAGGGCAGUUGUGGAAACAGCAAGUGGUGCCAAAGUUCGACUACACCCGCAUUCUUCCAACUUUAACUUGUCAUUUAAUAAAUCCUCUGGGAAUCCACUAAUGGUAUUUGAUGAAAUCACUCGAGGUGAUGGUGGAAUGUAUGUAAAGAACUGUUCAGUUGUUGGAUCAUAUCCUUUACUUCUGCUUGCUACAGAAAUAGCUGUUGCUCCACCUGAUGAUGUAAGUGAUGAGGAUGAUGAAGGUUCCAGUGGGGAUGAAGCGGGAAAAAGCACUCUGGGACAACAAAAGGAAGAGAUCAUGUCUUCUCCCGACAACACUGUUUCAGUUGUUGUUGAUCGGUGGCUCCGAUUUGAUGCUACUGCUCUGGAUGUUGCUCAGAUAUACUGCCUACGAGAACGCCUAGCAUCUGCUAUUCUUUUCAAAGUGAAACAUCCACAGGAUGUUCUCCCGCCUGCUCUUGGAGCAACGAUGUAUGCGAUUGCUUGUAUCCUAUCGUAUGAUGGCUUGCCUGGUAAUUUGGCAACAAAACAUGGUUCAGGUCAGAGCUCAGCAGAUGCUAGCGGAUCAGCUGAGGGAAGGAAAGGUGGUUUUAUUCCGCCUGGUGGUUUCCUUAUGUCAUUGCUAUCGGACAUACCACCCAAUGCACCUCAUCAUCAGAAGUCAUCUAAUCAUCCAGGGGGUGGUUCAGGGCAUAUUAGGUCAUCGAGGGCCCCUGCUGGUAGAUUUAAUCAGUCGCAGCAGCGUCCUGGCCGCAACAGCUCUGGACCAGGGAGUUCAGCAUCACAAUCUUUCAAAAGACAGCGGGACGCUGCACGGUGA